GAUGAACGCUGGCGGCGUGCUUAACACAUGCAAGUCGAGCGGAGAUGAGGUGCUUGCACCUUAUCUUAGCGGCGGACGGGUGAGUAAUGCUUAGGAAUCUGCCUAUUAGUGGGGGACAACAUUCCGAAAGGAAUGCUAAUACCGCAUACGCCCUACGGGGGAAAGCAGGGGAUCUUCGGACCUUGCGCUAAUAGAUGAGCCUAAGUCGGAUUAGCUAGUUGGUGGGGUAAAGGCCUACCAAGGCGACGAUCUGUAGCGGGUCUGAGAGGAUGAUCCGCCACACUGGGACUGAGACACGGCCCAGACUCCUACGGGAGGCAGCAGUGGGGAAUAUUGGACAAUGGGCGGAAGCCUGAUCCAGCCAUGCCGCGUGUGUGAAGAAGGCCUUUUGGUUGUAAAGCACUUUAAGCGAGGAGGAGGCUACCUGGAUUAAUACUCUAGGAUAGUGGACGUUACUCGCAGAAUAAGCACCGGCUAACUCUGUGCCAGCCGCCGCCGUAAUAC
rnacentral:rRNA from 1 species